rnacentral:ncRNA from 1 species
GAAUAUAGAGGGCGGAACAGGUAGCCGCCGCCACGCAUACUUGCGGUUGGAGAUGUAGAUUACCACCUACCUAUAUUC